UCUGGCUGUGCCUUGCUGCAUGGCUCGACGUGCAACUGGACAUCAAUAUGGAACUAUGUGGCACUCUCCAUGCCCUCUCUGUCUCUUUCUAGCUUUCCUUUCGACCGUUGCCUGUAGGUUUGGAGCAUGUUACUUUGCCUGCUGAUAACUGAUAUUUGACAACUUUUGAUGUGCUGACAUUGACAGCGGCAGGCGGCCCUUCGUCUGACUGUGCGCAGAUCCCUCUGCUGAUAGCCAACGCUUAGCUCUCAACUGUCGCAUACGGAUAAACCAUCUAGCAUUUUAAGUAGACAGCUAUAAAUCUGAAUAAUAUUUACAGCAGCUGAAGGCGCAACAGACUUUCCAGUAAUGAUUAUGGCCAGAGGAGGCAAAGACCGUUAAAAAGCAUCUGCGUAAUAUGAGUGGAAAAAGCGUUUUAUUGAAAUGAGCAACGAUCGAAUUGUGGUCCAAAUGAACUCGUUCUCAUUGAAACAACAACAGCAACAACACGGGGGCAACAUGCAAUUUGGCUGAAACUCAAGCUGGAUCUUUGAAAGCACCGCGCCAACAUUUAACGAGGUGGUCAAGAUUGUGCCAAAAAACGUUGGGUAAUUACACGACAGAACUGUGCGUGCUUACACACACACACUCUCUCACAGACACAAACACAGACAGCUAUAGUUCAUAUAUGAUAUGAGGCACUUUGGCUUGCCGUUUAAGUUGAUGAAUAUGAAUUUUGUGGCAGCGUUUUAUGGGUCUGCUCUUAAAAGGGGGGGAGUUAAAUCAGCGGCAGGCACUUGAUUGCACUUGUCAGUAACAAAGAGUUUCGCCAUAAUUUAAUGUAACGAUUUUACUACUAGCUCAACUACUUGGAAAGUUUUCUAAUUAUAAUGAGCCUGGGCACAAGCAACAUCAUCAUGUCAAUUGGCGCGUACCCGAAUAGUGAAGAGUUUCAACCUAAUUAUUAAUAAACGCCAACGUUGGAUGUCAUUGUCGAGCAGUUGCUGUUGUAGUAGCAGCAGCUCUCAGCUUGGUCGCCACCGCCGCCUCCCCACCUACUGUGAAGUGGCUGUCAUCAUUUUAAUGCCAACUCGUUACUUUAUUUAUCAUCAACAUCAUUUCGAGCUCAACGCUGACAAGCAGACAGUAGCCGAGGCAGUAGCUGCAACUACAACUUUACGUAGAACCUAGAGGGAACCAACUGCAAGCGGUGUAUAGACAAAGGGGGCGAACGGAGGCAGCCCAGCGCCCGUAACAUUGACUACGGCACAGAUAAAAGCCUUUCCAUGUCGCUUCAAAUUUAAGUUUUCAAUUAAAAAAGACAUAAAAUGCUCUACUA